AUUGAACGCUGGCGGCAGGCCUAACACAUGCAAGUCGAGCGGAGCGGCGGACGGGUGAGUAAUGCAUAGGAAUCUGCCUGGUAGUGGGGGAUAACGUCCGGAAACGGGCGCUAAUACCGCAUACUAUCAGAUGAGCCUAGGUCGUAGUAGCUAGUUGGUGGGGUAAAGGCCUACUAAGGCGACGAUCCGUAACUGGUCUGAGAUGGUGAGAAUUCACACUGGAACUGAGACACGGUCCAGACUCCUACGGGAGGCAGCAGUGGGGAAUAUUGGAUAAUGGGCGUAAUCCUGAUCCAGCCAUGCCGCGUGUGUGAAGAAGGUCUUCGGAUUGUAAAGCACUUUAAGUUGGGAGGCGUUACCAACAGAAUAAGCACCGGCUAACUUCGUGCCAGCCGCCGCGGUAAUUC
rnacentral:rRNA from 1 species